rnacentral:lncRNA from 1 species
UUUUUUUUUGUUUUUUUUUUUUUUUGUUUUUUUGUUUUUUUUUUUGUUUUUUUUUUUUUUUUUUUUUUUUUUUGACCCUCUGAUGGGGUUUAUACAUAUUACCCUCUGAUGGGGUUUAUACAGAUGUCUCCGAAAGAUAAUAAAAAUAAAUUACAUCACUUUAAUGUAAGGAAACCUUUAUCUUCCUUCUAGGUCUUUCCGUAGCUUUCUCAGAAAAUAGGAACAUGCAUGAUGAAAGUGUGAGCAUCUUCUUUGGCUUUAGUAAGAUCUCAUUUUUUCUUUUUCUUUUGCGUUGUCCCCAUGUGCUCUCGAGGAGAGCCUCCAUUUUUCUUUUUCUUUUCUACUUUUGCUUUCUUAGUGACAUGAUGGCUGGAUUGCUUCACUGGUGUGCAAUUGGCGCAUGCCAUCUCCACAAACUUCUUCACACCCUUUCCUC